AUAUAAAUCGAACCAAUAAACAAACAAACAAACAAACAAACAAACAAACUUGCAGGACUUAUGAAGCAUUUUUCUGACUACACAACAGGCCAUGUCACAUUUCUUUUGACAUUUUGAUUCCUUCUCUUUCCAAAUCCACAGGUAUUGUCAGAAGAAAGGUCUGAGUUCGAGUCCAAGCUGGGACUCGGACACAAAAUGAAUACAUAGGACAACUGUGUGAAGAAGGUUUUAUUUAACAGCAUAACAGACUGUAUAGCUCUCAAAGAUAAGCAAAACACAAUCUAUUUUGAAAGGUCAAAAGGCAGUCAAGAUACCAGGAGAUACAUCCGUGCUUGAUGAUAUUGCUGCCAACAGUACAAGAUAGGCAGAAAUUAAAAGUCUCAACUCUACAGAAUGAACCAAAACUGGUUUGAGCAGCCUCGAGUUGUAUCUAAAAUAAUGAUAUUGGAACAGGAGCAAACAAACACCGACAUCACACAAAAGCAGCUUGGUGAGAAGCAACAGAAGGAAAAGAAAAACAGAAGAAUAAUCAGGCCGGAAGGGAAGUUUUUACAUUCUCUUGACUUCUUUGUGAAUGACAUUGUUUUGGGCGGGUAUCUCAUCUGUGCCAGACCACAUUCAAUGACUGCACUUGGGACCUUAGCUCUGCUAAUUCUGAGCUGUUUUAUAACCUACAGCACAAGUAGGUCUGUGUAUUUAUUGCUAUUCCAUAGGUAAUAGCCCACAGAAUCAUAUGCAAUAAAAUUUGCAAGUAACAUUCAACAUUGUAAUCUAACAAUCAAUUAAAAGCAGCAGAAUCUAUCUAUAGAGA